rnacentral:rRNA from 1 species
AUGCUCUCCCGCCGGUUAGCGGCCGCCGCCGGCUACGCGAGGCUGCUGUCCGCCUCCGCCCCGGCGGCGUCAACAGGAGGAGUUGGAGGAUCGAGUUCCGCGGGGGGCGGGGGCACGCUGGGGAAGCGUUUGCUGAAGCUCAUCUAUCCGAAGCGGAGCGCGGUGGUGGUGCUGCGCCGAUGGGCAGAGGAAGGCCGCCCGGUGCACAAGUACCAGCUCAACCGCGUCGUCCGCGAGCUCCGCAAGUACCGCCGCUUCAAGCACGCCCUCGAGAUUUGCGAGUGGAUGAGGACGCAGCCGGAGAUGAGGCUGCUGCCGGGGGACCACGCCGUGCACCUCGACCUCGUCGCCAAGGUGCGGGGCCUGGCCAGCGCCGAGAAGUUCUUCGAGGACGUCCCCGAGCGGGCCAAGGGGCCGUCCACCUGCAACUCCCUCCUGCACGCCUACGUGCAGCACGGCGCCCGGGACAAGGCCGAGGCCAUGCUCAAGGAGAUGGCGGGCGCAGGGUACCUCACGUGCGCGCUCCCGUUCAACCACAUGAUGUCGCUCUACAUGUCGACUGGCGAGCUGGAGAAGGUGCCCGAGAUGAUCAAGGAGCUCAGGAGGUACACCAUCCCAGACCUGGUCACGUACAACAUAUGGCUCACCUACUGCUCCAGGAAGAACAGCGUGAAAAGCGCGGAGAAGGUCUUUGAUCUCAUGAAAGAUGACAGGGCGGUCCCAGACUGGAUGACAUUCAGCCUGCUGGCCAGCAUUUACAUCAAUGCCGGUCUUCAUGUCAAAGGCCGGGAUGCGCUUGUGGAGAUGGAGAAGAGGGCCUCCAGGAAGGAGCGAGCCGCCUACUCAUCACUUCUCACCAUGUACGCAAGCCUGUCAGAUAGAGGUAACUUGGACAGGGUGUGGAGCAAGAUGAGUCAAACCUUCAGGAAGUUCAGCGACGCCGAGUAUAAGUGCAUGCUUACUUCGCUUACAAGGUUUGGCGAUAUUGCAGCAGCAGAGUGCGUUUACGGCGAAUGGGAGUCAGAGUCAGGAACAAAAGAUUCAAGGAUCCCGAACACCAUCCUUUCAUUUUACAUCAAGAAUGGCAAGAUGGAGAAGGCAGAGAGUUUUCUUCAACACAUUGUGCAGAAAGGAGUCAAGCCCAGCUAUAGCACUUGGGAGUUAUUUGUUUGGGGUUAUCUUGGCAACGACGAGAGGACGGACAAAGUUAUGGAGUGCCUUAAGAAAGCACUGUCAAGCUUGGAGAAAUGGGAGCCAAACCCGCAACUCGUCGUUGCUCUUUUUUCGCAGAUUGAGAAGAGAGGUGACAUUGAAGCUGCAGAGGAGCUCCUCGUUGUGCUUAGAGAUGCAGGCUAUGUCACAACUGAGAUAUAUAACUCGGUCCUGCGCACGUACGCUAAAGCUGAGAUGAUGCCUCUGAUAAUUGAUGAACGAAUGGACGAGGAUAAGGUCUCAAUGGAUGACGAAACUAGGAGAUUGUUGAAAUCGACUAGCAAGUACCCAAUUGGUGAAGUUUCAACAAUAAUGUCUUGA